AACCAUACUAUCAACCAGUUUUCCUACUACAGACACUGCCAGCCAUAUCAUAGCACAAAAUAAAAACAUUUUACGUGUUUUUUUUUUUGUAUAAUUGAAACGAAGACAUAGAUCUCAAAAGCUUUGCUGGUCUUAUUUUCCUCUACGUUUACUGUCAUCGACCAAAAUGCCUAUUUUAUUGCAUUUUGGGAAAACGCAGUGGGCGUCCGCUUUGAAAUUAUCCUGUGUUGCAUUGAUGGUGUUUCUGGCAUGUCCAGUGAAUUCCAUGGAUGUGCUGGUGCCACCACAGAUCCUCGCUCUCAAUGGGACAGAUGUCAGAAUCCCCUGUGCGUUCACUUCAUGCUACAAGCUGGACCCCAGCAAGUUUGCCAUGAACUGGACCUAUCAGGAGACAAGCAACAGCACAGAGGAAAUGUUCAUGACCUAUAAGAACAAGAUAACACCCUUGAAGUCAAGCCGAUUUGGAGAUCGAGUCACAUUUUCUGGAAACCUGGAUAAGAACGACCUGAGCAUCACUAUCUUAGAUGUGCAGUUGACAGACGAGGGCAUCUACAACUGCUAUGUGCGCAACCCUCCAGACCGCAUUCAUGGCCAUGGCGCCAUUCAGGUCCUCGUCCUGACUGAAUUGCCACCACCAAGAGAUUCGACCAUUGCUGUUGCCAUCGGGGCAUCUGUGGGAGGAAUUCUAGCUUUGCUCAUUCUGUCCAUGGUAGUGGUGAAGUGUAUUCGCAGACAUAAGAACCAGGAAUUGAUCUCAGAUGAGCAGAAGAUGGAGGAAGAGGGCAAAGCAGAUGGAGAAGGAGGCACAGAAGAAGCAACAAAACAGCCCUAACCCGCAAUCUUAGCCCUGGAGGCCUAACUGAUGGUGGAGCUUCAUCCUACACAUUCUGAAAUUUAAGCCUGCCUGAAGAUAUGUAAAACUUGUUUGACUCUUCAUCCUAUAACUGUCUUAUUCAACAUUCCUCGGUUUUCUCGUGUAGCAGUCAAACAUGUCAUAAAGGAAGAUCUCCACCACAGUGCCAUGGUGUCCAGUUACCAGUGAGAAAUUACCCCACAAAGGGUUUCAAACUGCUUCUUCCACUCAAUACAACAGGUUAAGUUGAUAACUUCCUUCAGAACUCUUCGUUUAGACCACCUGUUUUUCAAAGUCAAGUAAUGUCUUUUUUUUUUCUUCAACUACUGCCACUAUUAGCACUAUUAAUAUCAGCCAUCCAGUAUUUCUGAUGAAAAUUUUCUAACGAGAUGAAUUUAAAAUUAUACAAGGUCCUCUUACAACUGCCAAAGUGUUUUUACCCUUAUGGUGUUUAUACGUUUUAAGAGUUUCUUGAGAAAUCACUGCCCUCAACAACCUCUCAAGUGGAUGUAGAAACAUAAUGUGUGUAUUUGUGUGUGCCUUCUCAUUGUGCCAGUUUGCUCCUGUUGGGUCUAAAAGUUUAUCCUGUUUUUACAGCAGACUAUUAGGCAGGACCGUGAC